rnacentral:tRNA from 2 species
GGAAGGGUGGCCGAGUGGCUUAAGGCGCUCGCUUGGAAAGCGUGUGUACCGAAAGGUACCGUGGGUUCAAAUCCCACCCCUUCCG